UACGGGGGGGCAAGGCGUUGUUCGGAAUUACUGGGCGUAAAGGGCUCGUAGGCGGCCAACUAAGUCAGACGUGAAAUCCUCGGCUUAACCGGGAACUGCGUCUGAUACUGGAUGGCUUGAGUUCGGGAGAGGGAUGCGGAAUUCCAGGUGUAGCGGUGAAAUGCGUAGAUAUCUGGAGGAACACCGGUGGCGAAGGCGGCAUCCUGGACCGAUACUGACGCUGAGGAGCGAAAGCCAGGGAGCAAACGGG
rnacentral:rRNA from 1 species